rnacentral:rRNA from 1 species
CCUACGGGAGGCAGCAGUGAGGAAUAUUGGUCAAUGGACGAGAGUCUGAACCAGCCAAGUAGCGUGAAGGAUGACUGCCCUAUGGGUUGUAAACUUCUUUUAUAUGGGAAUAAAAUGUUCCACGUGUGGGAUUUUGUAUGUACCAUAUGAAUAAGGAUCGGCUAACUCCGUGCCAGCAGCCGCGGUAAUACGGAGGUGCCGAGCGUUAUCCGGAUUUAUUGGGUUUAAAGGGAGCGUAGAUGGAUUGUUAAGUCUGUUGUGAAAGUUUGCGGCUCAACCGUAGAAUUGCAGUUGAAACUGGGAGGCUUGAGUACAGUAGAGGUGAGCGGAAUUCGUGGUGUAGCGGUGAAAUGCUUAGAUAUCACGAAGAACUCCGAUGGCGAAGGCAGCUCACUGGACUGCAACUGACACUGAGGCUCGAAGGUGUGGGUAGCAAACAGGAUUAGAUACCCGUGUAGUC